rnacentral:lncRNA from 1 species
UCAGGCAGCCUCCUUGAAGCCAAUUGGUUAUGAUUUUUGAUCAAUAGGAAUGGAGAUUUUUAUCAUCCAUCUCCAUUCAUCUAUAUGGAUGCCACAAAAUCUUUUUUUGCUACCAAAAUCCUUCUACAACUCUUUUCUUUACAAGAUUUAUUCAAUAUAUGUCGUAAACACCAUAUUAAAGAAACAGAAUAAGACUUUAAGGCU